rnacentral:rRNA from 1 species
CGCGGGCGUAGGAUAUUUGAGAGGAGCUGCCCUUAGUACGAGAGGACCGGGGUGGACUGGCCUCUGGUGUAUCUGUUGAGCCAUCAGGCUCAUGGCAGAGUAGCCAAGCCGGGACGGGAUAAACGCUGAAGGCAUCUAAGCGUGAAGCCCCCCUCAAGAUGAGAUAUCCCAUACGCAAGUAGUAAGACCCCUUGAAGACGACGAGGUAGAUAGGGCAGAGGUGGAAGCGUAGUAAUACGUGAAGCUGACUGUUACUAAUCGGUCGAGGGCUUAACCAAAA